rnacentral:tRNA from 1 species
GGGGUUGUAGCUCAGAUGGCAAGAGCGGUGCUAACAAGCGCAAGGUCGUGAGUUCGAGUCUCACUUACCCCA